GGGCCCGUAGCUUAGUCCGGCGGAGCGAUUGGCUCAUAACCAAUUGGUCAUCGGUUCAAAUCCGAUCGGGCCCACCA
rnacentral:tRNA from 1 species